rnacentral:lncRNA from 1 species
CAGAAGGAACAAACUCUGGACACACCAUCUUUAAGAACUGUUAACACUCACUGCGAGGCUCCGUGGCUUCAUUCCUCAAGUCAGUGAGACCAAGAACCCACCAAUUUCGGACACAAUGGGAGCAGACUUCUUUAUGUUCUCAUGAUAGAUGCACUUGCUUCCUCUUCUACCCUGAUUGCAAGUUUCCCGAGGCCUUAUCAGCCCUGCAAAACUGACUGGAGCCCAAGAGCAGGGGAUACCUGAAAUCCUAGGCACUGACAGGAGAACUUCAGACUGGAGAGGAGACCAGCUCUCCUGCAUCCCGGUGCCCUUCCCUAACAGCACAAUGGAACUGGCAAAGGGGCUACAGGACAAUUCCAGGAGCUGCGUGCAUUCUUCAAAAACGUGUUGCAGGUAUCAUACUGUGGGUCCACCACAGUUGGCCAAAAUUGGCAGCACUGGACAAGUGGACCAGUCAGGAAGACCCAGACCACCCAACAGGGCUGAUCUUGCGAUGGAACCAAGUCAUGCUGAGAAGGACAACCACUCUGCUCUGUCCACUCCAGAGGCUGGACAGUCUACACAUGGCUGAAGCUUGAGGAAACUUCAAGCCCUGCCCUAGUCACACCACAAGCUGACUAGUCUAUGCACGGCUGAAGCUUGAAGAGUCUUCCUCAGAUGAGUAAAUGUGGAUAGAAGUAUUAAGUUUAGUUGCUAUCUUAGUAAUAUUACUUGUUCUGUUGCUAUGCUAUAAUUUUUGCCAGUCCCUCCUCCCAGGAAAGGACCUUUUUUGUCCAUACUUUGUGUAAACAUACCACUCCUUAUUUUUAUUUUGCUACUACCACUGCCUAUGGCAAAGAGAAAGCACCUGGAAUGGUGCCCCCACUGCACUCAUACCACAAAGUCUGGAAGAACUUUAACUAAAACUCUCCUAUAUCAUACUCAUUACAUGUGUGCCAGGGCACAUUUGGGUACCUGUGUACAUGACCAAAUAACAUAUUCAAUUUAUGACCCAGGAAAUAACAAACCAUAUAUAUGUUAUGACCCUAAGACUCCACUCACAGAAUUCUAGUUUGAGUCUCAUGCAAAAAUAAAAGAUGGGGAUCUUUUGAAUCAAAAUAAGGGUUUUUCCCUUGGCAUAGAUGCCACAUCCUUAUAUCUUAACCUCUGCCAACACACUUUCACGGUGUCCACUCACUUAAUUAUUAUCUCUGACCCUGAAGGUUACCUUAGCAGUUGUCAUACCACUGGAUGUGCACCCUCCAUUUGCUCUGCCAGAUACCUAGUGAUGAUUGGAUGCUGGAGCUGCUCAACAUGGUUACACAACCCAUUAGAGGAGGCUCUACUUACCAGAAUGCUAGCCAAACCUCACUGUAAUUGGAAAACAUGUUCCUGUAGUACUGUGAAUUUUACUAUCUUAAAGCCAAAUGAACUCAUAUGGACUACAGGAUAUCCCAUAAUGUUAGGAGUUGCUGAUCAAAAGGCAGCCAUGGAAAUCUAGCUAUUUAUUAUUAAGAAAACAAACAAAACAGCCAAUACCUCAGUUCUAGUCUUCAUGUCAUUUUAUAAAUAUUCCAACCAGAAGGUAUCUGAGCCACCUCCUCCAACCAAAAACUUAUUUGCCCAGCUAGCUGAAAACAUAACUGGCAGUUUAGGAAUUACUUCCUGUUAUGUUUGUGGAGGAACAAAUGUAGAAGACCAAUGGCCAUGGGAGGCAAAAGAAUUAAUGCCUCAAGAUAAUUUCACUCUUCCUAAAUCCACCAAUGAACCAAUAGACUCAGCCAGUGUGUGGAUACUGAAUACCUCCAUAAUUUGAAGGUACUGUAUCAUCCAUUGAGGAGAAGCAUUUACAGAUGUAGUAGGAUAAUUAACUUGCUUAGGGCAAAAAUAUUAUAAUAGAACUGAAGGAAAAUUCCAUGGAGGAGUACAAAAAAUGAUUCCUCCUUAUCUAAUUUUAACCCCUUUUCUCAGUUUCCCACCUCGCACCAUUCUUGGUAUCAGCUUGAGGAUCCAAAUUCUUGGCAAGUACCCUCUGGCCUCCAUUGCAUCUGUGGAACAUAGGCAUAUCAGAAACUGCUGCCUAAGUGGUCAGGGGCCAAUGUAUUAAAAAUAAUUAGGCCUUUCUCUUUCUUAACCCCCCUAAAGCAGGGUGAGACUUCAGGGUAUACAGUUUAUGAUGAGAAUAAAAAUGAACCAGGAGGUUAUUUUAUUUUGUUGUUAGUCUCAAAAAUAGAACAAACUUCAAAAAGGAUAUAGAUAUAUGAUACUGGAAAUGUAAUGAAUGGCCUCCUGAAAGAAUUAUUAAAUACUAUGGGCAAGCCACCUGGGCAGAAGAUGGAAUGUGGGGAUAUCAUACCCUCAUUUACAUGAUCAGCCAUGUCAUAAGGUUACAAGCUGUUCUUGAAAUUAUAACCAAGGAAACAUCAAGGGCUUUAGGUUUGGUGGCCGUGCAAGCCACACAGAGGAGAUAAACUAUUUAUCAAAAUAGGUUGGUACUAGAUUAACUCCUGGCCUCAGAAAGGACAGUAUGUGGGAAGUUCAGUUUAACAAAUGUCUGGAAAUUGAUGAUAAUGAACAACUUGUCAUAAAGAUUACUGCAAAGAUGUGAAAGCUGGCUCAUGUUCCAGUGCAAAUCAGGAAAGGCUGGUCUCCAGACUCCUUCUUCGGAGGAUGUUUUUCAUCUUUUUGUGGAUUUAAAACCAUAACAGACUGCUUUGUAGUUAUCUUAAGUGGGUGUCUAAUACUCCCUUCUCUCCUGCCUCUUUUGAUCAGAAGCAUUCAGUCAAGUAUAAAAGCAAUUGUGACAAGGCAAACCACCACCCAAAUGAUGGCUUUAAGUAAACACUAUCCUCUAUCUAGAGAAGAAAGUGUGCCAUCCCAUUGAGAAAUAGAUGAUAGUGGUGCUUUCUAUUAAAAAUUCAUUCAUAAAAAGCAUCAAAGGGGGAAAUGAAGUACAGAAUUAAAGGAAAGUUAAAACUUGCAUAAAAAUUGUUGUUAGAGUUAGAAUAAAAUAGGCCUCAAGUAGCCCCCCACCACUGAAGUAGGAGUUAAGAAAGAAUACUAACUGCUUCUCUGUGAAACGUUAUCCAUAAUCUACCCUCUGCAUAUUUUGUAAGUUCUGUUAAGUUCCUGUUUUUCUGCUGAACAACUGAAAGGUCACAAGAUAGAUAAGCACUAGCUGCAAAACAUGUUUUUCCAAAGAUGUAAGACACGUCAUAAUGUGACUGACUGCUUUUUGUUCUCACUUCUGUAAGCCUGCUUCCUGCCUCGUGUACUGCCUGCCUUAAGAUGCAUAAAAGGCACUUGCCUUGUUUGUUUGGUGCUCACACUUUUUCUGGAUGCUAGUCCACAGAGUUGGGGUACACCCUAAAUAAUAAAUCCUUCUGUGACCCGA